rnacentral:misc_RNA from 1 species
AAGUCGUAACAAGGCCUCCGUAGGUGAACCUGCGGAGGGAUCAUUACAGAGCAUCAUGCCCCCGGGGUAGAUCUCCCACCCUGUGUCUUACGUUACCACAUGUUGCUUUGGCGGGCCGCCCUCGGCCACCGGCUCCGGCUGGUGCGCGCCCGCCAGAGGACCCCAAACUCUGAAUGUCAGUGUCGUCUGAGUACUAUAUAAUAGUUAAAA